rfam:Mycoplasma sp. CAG:956 genomic scaffold, scf103
UUAAAAAAGCCUAAUAUACCAAAGACAGUAAGUGCAAAAAUAAAUCUUACCGAGGGAAAAUAAAGAUAAAAUUCUUUAACCUUUCCUGAUUGGAAAGCUUUUUUAUAUAAAAUU